GGAAUUAAAAGGAAAUACAAACAAAAUAACAAACCAAAGGAAAGAGCAAAAGAAGAAAAAGCUAGUAAUGUUGAUCCAAAGUAAAUAAACUAUGUACUUCUAUACAGGGUUGCUAGAUAAGUAUAAGUACGUAUCCUCUGGACUUUCUAAGUAUGCCCUAAAUUUGUAAAAGUAAUGAGUACUUCACAGUUUCUAAGUAAUAAUAAAAACUAAGUGUUCCUGGAAGAUUUUUUUCUGGAUUCUUAGUUUGUUCUAAUUCCUUUUCUGGGUUGCAAUAGUAGGAGUCUCUCUGCAUAAUAAUCUAAAAAAUAAUCUAAGAAGUAUAAUAUUGAUCUAAAUAGUGAGUACUCUACAGUUU